rnacentral:rRNA from 1 species
UAAACCUGCCUGGUAGCGGGGGGUAACUAUUGGAAACGAUAGCUAAUACCGCAUAAGAGUAGAUGUUGCAUGACAUUUGCUUAAAAGGUGCAAUUGCAUCACUACCAGAUGGACCUGCGUUGUAUUAGCUAGUUGGUGAGGUAACGGCUCACCAAGGCGACGAUACAUAGCCGACCUGAGAGGGUGAUCGGCCACACUGGGACUGAGACACGGCCCAG